rnacentral:rRNA from 1 species
CUUAAAUGAAUUGACGGGACCGCACAAGCGGUGGAUGAUGUGGAUUAAUUCGAUGCAACGCGAAAACCUUACCUACCCUUGACAUGUCCGGAAUCCCGAAGAGAUUUGGGAGUGCUCGCAAGAGAACCGGAACACAGGUGCUGCAUGGCUGUCGUCAGCUCGUGUCGUGAGAUGUUGGGUUAAGUCCCGCAACGAGCGCAACCCUUGUCAUUAGUUGCCAUCAUUUGGUUGGGCACUCUAAUGAGACUGCCGGUGACAAACCGGAGGAAGGUGGGGAUGACGUCAAGUCCUCAUGGCCCUUAUGGGUAGGGCUUCACACGUCAUACAAUGGUCGGUACGGAGGGUUGCCAACCCGCGAGGGGGAGCUAAUCCCACAAAGCCGAUCGUAGUCCGGAUCGCAGUCUGCAACUCGACUGCGUGAAGUCGGAAUCGCUAGUAAUCGUGGAUCAGCAUGUCACGGUGAAUACGUUCCCGGGCCUU